GUGAUGAUGUGGUUCUUCAGUGAGAAAAUGAGCAUGCCCCUACCAACUGA
rnacentral:snoRNA from 1 species